AAUCAACGCUGGCGGCGUGCCUCAGACAUGCAAGUCGAACGCGAAAGUUUCCUUCGGGGGACAAGUAGAGUGGCGCACGGGUGAGUAACACGUAGGUAAUCUACCUUCGGAUGGGGAAUAACAACCGGAAACGGUUGCUAAUACCGCAUAAUGCAGCGGCACCUAAUGGUGGCAGUUGUUAAAGCGGGGGAUCGAAAGACCUCGCGUCUGAAGAGGAGCCUGCGGCGGAUUAGCUAGUUGGUAAGGUAAUGGCUUACCAAGGCGACUAUCCGUAGCCGGCCUGAGAGGGCGGUCGGCCACACUGACACUGACAUACGGGUCAGACUCCUACGGGAGGCAGCAGUCGGGAAUUUUGGGCAAUGGGCGAAAGCCUGACCCAGCAACGCCGCGUGAAGGAUGAAAUCCCUCGGGAUGUAAACUUCGCAAGAACGGGAAGAAUAAGCGAGAGUUAAUAUCUCUCGUGACGACGG
rnacentral:rRNA from 1 species